rnacentral:rRNA from 1 species
ACCUGCGGAGGAUCAUUAAAUAAAGGACCAUUCCGAUGGGGAGGUAAAGCUCACCGUAGGUUUGGUAUCCCGAAACCCGUGUCUAAAUACUCUUGUUGCUUUGGUGGGCCGUGGCCUCCACUGCGGGCUCUGCUCGCAUGUGCCCACCAGAGACCCAAACCCUGAAUGUUAGUGAUGUCUGAGUACUAUAUAAUAGUUAAAACUUUCAACAACGGAUCUCUUGGUUCUGGCAUCGAUGAAGAACGCAGCGAAAUGCGAUAAGUAAUGUGAAUUGCAGAAUUCAGUGAAUCAUCGAAUCUUUGAACGCACAUUGCGCCUGGUGGUAUUCCGCCGGGCAUGCCUGUUCGAGCGUCAUUAUAACCAAUCAAGCCUGGCUUGGUAUUGGGGCACGCACUCUGCGGCCUUCAAAAGCAGUGGCGGUGCCGGUUGGCUCUCAGCGUAGUACAUACCCCGUUGAAGACCCCGAUUGGUAGCCUGCCAGAACCCCCCUUUUUCACGGUUGACCUCGGAUCAGGUAGGGAUACCCGCUGAACUUAAGCAUAUCAAUAGCCGGGAGGAAAAA